AAACAGAUUCCGAAAAAUAAGGUCAUCUUGAAAUUCAAGAUAUGAAAUAAUUCAAGAUAUGACGAGUGUAUGUCGUCUUGUUUUAAUUCAUAUCUUGAAUUUCAAGAUGACCUUAUUUUUCGAAAUUUGUUU